rnacentral:rRNA from 1 species
UACGGAGGAUGCGAGCGUUAUCCGGAUUUAUUGGGUUUAAAGGGUGCGUAGGCGGACUGUCAAGUCAGCGGUAAAAUUGAGAGGCUCAACCUCUUCCCGCCGUUGAAACUGGUGGUCUUGAGUGGAUGAGAAGUACGCGGAAUGCGUGGUGUAGCGGUGAAAUGCAUAGAUAUCACGCAGAACUCCGAUUGCGAAGGCAGCGUACCGGCAUCCAACUGACGCUGAGGCACGAAAGCGUGGGGAUCAAAUAGG